UACAGAGGUCCCAAGCGUUGUUCGGAUUCACUGGGCGUAAAGGGUGCGUAGAUGGCCAGGUAAGUUUGGUGUGAAAGCUCGGAGCUUAACUCCGAAAAGUCAUUGAAUACUAUCUGGCUGGAGGGUCGGAGGGGAGACUGGAAUUCUCGGUGUAGCAGUGAAAUGCGUAGAUAUCGAGAGGAACACCAGUGGCGAAGGCGAGUCUCUGGACGACUCCUGACACUGAGGCACGAAAGCUAGGGGAGCAAACAGG
rnacentral:rRNA from 1 species